UACGGGGGGGGCAAGCGUUGUUCGGAAUUACUGGGCGUAAAGGGCUCGUAGGCGGCCAACUAAGUCAGACGUGAAAUCCCCGGGCUCAACCCGGGAACUGCGUCCGAUACUGGCAGGCUUGAAUCCGGGAGAGGGAUGUGGAAUUCCAGGUGUAGCGGUGAAAUGCGUAGAUAUCUGGAGGAACACCGGUGGCGAAGGCGGCAUCCUGGACCGGUAUUGACGCUGAGGCGCGAAAGCCAGGGGAGCAAACGGG
rnacentral:rRNA from 1 species